AAUGAACGUUGGCGGCGUGGAUUAGGCAUGCAAGUCGUACGGGCCGCAAGGCCAGUGGCGCAAGGGUGAGUAAGGCGACGGUAACCAACCCCGUGAUUGGGCAUAGCCGCGGGAAACUGCGGGUAAUUCCCAGCGACGUCCGAGGGGGGCAUCCCCUCCGGACCAAAGCUCCGGCGUCGCGGGACGGGCUGUCGUGGUAUUAGCUGGUUGGCGGGGUAACGGCCCACCAAGGCUCUGAUGCCUACCGGGCGUGCGAGCGUGGCCCGGCACACUGGGACUGAGACACUGCCCAGACUCCUACGGGAGGCUGCAGUCGAGAAUCUUCGGCAAUGGGCGCAAGCCUGACCGAGCGACGCCGCGUGGAGGACGAAGGCCUUCGGGCUGUAAACUCCUGUCGAGGGGGAAGAAGGGGUCGCAAGGCCCUUGACUGAUCCCUGGAGGAAGCACGGGCUAAGUUCGUGCCAGCAGCCGCGGUAAGACGAACCGUGCGAACGUUAUUCGGAAUCACUGGGCUUAAAGCGCGUGUAGGCGGGCCGGCACGUCGGUCGUUGAAAUCCCCCGGCUCAACCGGGGAAGCGGCGCCGAUACGACCGGCCUCGAGGGACGUAGGGGGGGCUGGAACUUCCGGUGGAGCGGUGAAAUGCGUUGAGAUCGGAAGGAACGCCCGUGGCGAAAGCGAGCCCCUGGACGUCUACUGACGCUGAGACGCGAAAGCCAGGGGAGCGAACGGGAUUAGAUACCCCGGUAGUCCUGGCCGUAAACGAUGGGCACUGGGUAGGGGGCUCGCCGAUGGGCUCCCUGCCGUAGGAAACCGUGAGUGCCC
rnacentral:rRNA from 1 species